UAGGGAAUCUUCGGCAAUGGACGAAAGUCUGACCGAGCAACGCCGCGUGAGUGAAGAAGGUUUUCGGAUCGUAAAACUCUGUUGUUAGAGAAGAACAAGGACGUUAGUAACUGAACGUCCCCUGACGGUAUCUAACCAGAAAGCCACGGCUAACUACGUGCCAGCAGCCGCGGUAAUACGUAGGUGGCAAGCGUUGUCCGGAUUUAUUGGGCGUAAAGCGAGCGCAGGCGGUUUCUUAAGUCUGAUGUGAAGCCCCCGGCUCAACCGGGGAGGGUCAUUGGAAACUGGGAGACUUGAGUGCAGAAGAGGAGAGUGGAAUUCCAUGUGUAGCGGUGAAAUGCGUAGAUAUAUGGAGGAACACCAGUGGCGAAGGCGGCUCUCUGGUCUGUAACUGACGCUGAGGCUCGAAAGCGUGGGGAGCAAACAGG
rnacentral:rRNA from 1 species